AAAAUACUCCCUCCGUCCGGAAUUACUUGUCAAAAUGGAUGAAAAUGGAUAUAUCUAGAACUAAAAUACAUGUAGAUACAUCCAUUUCAAUGACAAGUAUUUCCGGACGGAGGAAGUACAUU
rfam:Triticum aestivum genome assembly, contig: Triticum_aestivum_CS42_TGACv1_scaffold_320340_4BL